GUCUUCUUUUUAAACAUCAAAAUAAGUCAAUUUUGCCAUACAACAUGUAUAAAAAUAUUUAAGGCAAUUUGUCAGAUAUUUUAAUUUCAUUUCAUUUUACAUUAUUUCUUUUAACAUUUUCUAUGGAAGUACAUGUACUCCAAGAAGAAGAAGAAGCUAAAUAACAGAAUGCAAUUCUCUGAGGCAUUGAUUUACAUGUAUGUGCAUAUAAAGAGCAGCCGGCAAUUAUUUCGUGACGAGAGGUAUAAGUUUCAACUCAUCUUUAAAUAUCCAAGGAUCUCUAUUUAUUGGAAAGGCAUCAAUCGCAAACAACUAACACUGCAAUGUGGCAGCUAAUGAAUGUCGGUCUUUCAGAUACUGCCAUGUUUUGGAUGACAAGUGUUUUUUAUCUUCAAAAUUGUUUAGUUUUCUUCCAAUAGAUUUGUCAGAAAUAUA